CACUCGCGAGCCACGACCUCUUCCUCAUGCGCCACGGCCGGACCCGACCCGACCGACCCGACCCGCUUUCCUCCCACCCCGUCUCCCUCCUGCGAUCUCCUCUACGACGAGCGACGCCGCCUGCCUCAUCUCCUUGGCACCAGCAGCGACCACGCCGCCGGGCCUUCUCCGAGUCCUGAAUAGAUCGCUGCCGGUAGGGGGUAUCAACUAACUUCUGAGGAAACUAUUCAGAGCCAGUGUUCUUCUGUAAGUGCUUUCUUACAACUCCUGCUUCUGUAUGCAGUCUGUUGACGUGCACUGUACCUGGCGGUCCUCCAUAGCCAUGGUUUAUCACUCUAGUUUCAGUGACGAUGACGGGAUCACAAAAGCCUGUGGGUGUCCUUUGCUUCCACUAAAAACUCAUAUCAAGGGCCCAGCCCCAGCCUCAGAUUCAGAUAAAGCGGAUAUAGUUGAUGAAGCGAUAACUUUCUUUCGAGCAAAUGUUUUCUUCAAAAACUUCCAUGUCAAAAGCCUAGCAGACAAGUUGCUUAUCUAUCUGACAUCCUACAUCAAUAUUGCCUUGAAAAGACUAGAAAGCUGCCGGACACUGGCUGUUGGAACUAAGGCAAUCAUUAACCUGGGGUUGGAAAAUGUCCCUGUGCCCGGGGAACCUGGGUUUCCUUUCCCUGGACUUUUCACUCUUCCCGAAUCCGAGGAGGAAGCAGAGUUGUUGAGGAACUAUCUGAAGCAGAUAAGGGAGGAAACAAGCGGGAGGCUGCUCAACUGUGCAUACAGAGCUAAUGGCACUCCAAACAAAUGGUGGUUGGCUUUUGCAAAGAGGAAGUUCAUGAACCUUGUCAUCCUCUAGAGUGUAAUUAAGCAUUUCAGCAACAGUGAUGUAGAAGUCAUUGCACUCCAGAGAGAUCUCGAACUCCUGGAGAGCCCUACACGGCGAUCUUGGUCGGCUGUUUCCAGCAUGCUAAUUUGAUAGGUGCUAUCUCCUUUAAACACUGGUCCAGGGAUGCAACUCGUUUGGCGCACACUUAAUAAAUAUGCUUUUGAUUACAAGUCUAGUUUUAAUUGCGAUGGUGACCAUCCUAGCUUUAUUUUGCUUUCAGUGUUGACUGAUAUCUCUCUCUGAUAUUCAAUAAAGCUCGGGACGAGGCAUUCUCAUAAAACAUAUGGCAUUCUACAGAUUAUUUUAAAUUAAAUUAUUUUAUUUGGAAUUGGAACAUUUCCACGGGUACUUUUUUUUUACUUUUUAGAAAGUAAAGUUCUUUUUCGAAAGAUUACCUGUCUUUGUUUAUGCUUCGGAUUAGAGCAAAUGACUAAUUCGUCCACGCCUACGAACCAGUCGACAUUUUGUACAAAUUUUAUGAACGGAAGCUCUUAUUUUCAUAUUUCCGUAUCCUUUUUAAAAUUCUGAAUCUAAUCUUUUGGAAAAAAAAUAAGUCUCUUCGCUUGAACAAUGGUCCUGAAUGUUCUCUGUAGAAUGCCAUAUGUGCCUGAUUCUUUCACCAGUCACCAGAUAUGCUGUUAACGGUUAACUGGUCAAUAGAUCCGAUGAUGGGCCAUGUGUGGUGGCUCAUCAUUGGAACUUGCUCCAUUGACUAGAGGUUCAUGACAACUGCAUAGGGGUCUUAGAGCAACUCUAGCCGAUCCCCUAAAAACGGUUAGGGGAGUAAAAUCCUGGUUUGCUCCUCUAGCCGGCGCCUAGCCGAACUCUUAAAACCGUUGGGUGAGUUGAAAUUUUACUCCUCGGCACCGCGACUUCUAAAUAUACCUGGCCUUCAUGCGGCCGAGUAAAAGUUGCAGCCUCUUUUCUACACCUCAACACCCCACUGCCGACGACUACCCACCCCCUUCGCCGCUUCUCUUUGCCCUCGUCGCCCUUCUACUCUAGUCCGAGUUGGUAGUCGGCCGUCGCGGGAGUCAGAAUCGAGCUUAAAUGCCGCCGCCGCAUUGCCCUGUCUCCGGAAAGCGCCUUGGAUCUUUUUCCUUGUAGCCUCACUGGCACCUUCUCGUGCUUUGCCGGUCAUCUCCAGGCCUCGCCGACCGUUAGUAUCGGCUCAACGUCGCCGGCUAGCCCUUACACUUCUGCCGCCUUGCAAGUGUUCAACGGUUUGCCUAGGUGAGUUCUUUUUUAGCUUUUUUUGUCUCUUUUUCCUUUUGUCAGUUGAAUUCAACCGAUAAUUCAAAUUGAAGAUGAAGAGGCUGAGAGAGAUGAUCUCCGAGGACUAUUUAUCAUCGGAGGAGGAAGAAGAAGAUGGUGAUGAUUUUGAAAUGGUCGCUGGCAUGAUCUUCAACGAUGAUGUUCGGCGGCCGAGGAGAGGAUCACAGUUCGGCGACCGAGGAGAGGAUCAUAGUUCGGCCGCAUGCAAGUCAACCGUGAUAGAGCGGAGUGCCAUGCCAAGAUUAUGAGAGAUUAUUUCAACCCUAAUCAAAUCUAUCCGGAGAAGUAUUUUCGCCGCCAAUUUCAGAUGCACACAAGUCUCUUUCUCACCAUUGCAAAAGCCGUGAAGAAGCAUGAUGAUUGGUUCAAGCUCCAGAGGAAUGCAUGUGGAGAGAUAAGGGGACAGCUUCAGGCGGCGCCUAGAGGAGACCAUUGGCGUCAAGCGACGGCAUGGGAGACUCAACUAACAAGGCAGCCUCUUACCGUGAGGUUUCCCCUGUCGCCCUCUCCAAUCUGAAUCUGUAGUAACAAAAUUUUCCUUCGAGGGUGCAGCAGGGUUAGUGCUACGCUCAAAGUCGUUGCUGUCUUCAUCCACGAGUCUCAAUCCAGACUUGUAUAAUUCGUGGAGGAAGUUUCUGCCUCUAACUUGGAGGCCCCGGUCAGUGCUACGGUCAAAGUUGUUGCUGUCUUCGUCCAUGAGUCUCAAUCCAGAUUCCAGACAAUAUAUGUCUUCCAGUUACACAGCACCUUAAGGACACGAAGAAAAUAAUGCUAGGGCUCGGCGGUCCAUACCUGGAGAGUCAGCAAGCCGGAGGUACAGAUUCUCGCCAUUGUUGCUGAACUUCUGUGUGUCAACAAGCUCCCCUGUCCAGACUAAGCACCUUGAUGGGUCUUCAUAAGUGCCAUCACUGCUCAAGUUAGCAUAUGCAUAUGCUGUACACGAGCAAUUGCUGCUGCACUCAGCCGCGCACUGGUCGAAACUUCUGUUCUUGAUGUGCAAGAAGUUGGCCGGGACCAUCAGCACAGGCAAAGCCACAAAAUGAUUUGGCUUUCCACAUUUCAGAGGUUCCAUUCUCCGACAUCCUCUGGAGAAGUCAAGACCAUCAAGCUCGUACCCAUCAAGGCACUGGCAUGUGUGGACAGUUCCAGUGAAAUCACAAUAGCCGAAUGAGCCACACGAGGCGUAGAAGUCGCAGGCAGUGGGGACCUCGCCGAUGACUGUCCAUGAAGACGAGGAGUCGCUCCAACUCAAUAUCUUCAUUUUUCCAGUGUAGUCAACCAUCAUACGCACAUAUGGUGAGCCAUCGGAGACUGUGUACACAAAGUAGUACUGGUCUCCAACGUCAGUGGCUGUUUGGUACAGGAUGGAGCUGGUGUUGCUCCGAUAUGGUCCUCCACCUACAGUUAUACUGUUCCGAACCAUGGUGCGGCAGUACAAGCUAGUUCCAUGCCAAAUUACUAGCUGAAGGUUUGAACUGGGGUCAAGGCCAAGAGAAAAAUCUCCAUCGGAAGGGUCGUCAGGGCCCUUCCAAGCAACAAGACGCCCAACCACGCGAUCUUUAUAACUCAGCACGAACCUCAUGCCAGGAAGGAGGGUGUCCGUCGGGUGAUCAAAGCUUUGCCAUAUGACUGUGCCGUUGGAUGACCGGAGGACCAAGUUCCCCGUGUCGAGGAUCACUGCAUCAACUCCGUUAUCUCCAGCGGUGAUUUUGUUGUUGGUUGCCCAAACAGUUUGGCCUUGGGAAUCAGACAAGAUCAGGCCAGAAGUGUUUCUGAUGCCAAGCUCUGCAGAAACAGAGGAGGUGAUUGGUUUGUUGCGGUUUGCAACCCAAACAACCGUGUGUUUGGGGAUGUUGUGGUACCAUAUGCCAAGGUAGAGGCUACGGCUGGAGCUGGUCGGGGAGAAGAAGCCAAGCGCAAAGUCCCCGCCCUUGGAGACCAGAGUGUCGCCUGAGGCAAGUGGCUUUGCAUAUGUGAGCUGGUCAUCGGAUUUGCAGAAUGAACUCAAGGAUAGUAGAAUCAAAAUGGGGAUGCAGGCCAUAUCGGAUUUGCAGAAUGAACUCAAAGAUAGUGUCUUCUAGGUCUGUUUGUGUGUGAAGUCCAAGAAAUAGCACACAGUACAGAUAAUCGAUAAGACUGACUAGGCAUGGUUUUUGGCAACAGUUGGGCUGCAGGGUGUGAAUGAAUGUGUGGUUGGGGUACCCUCUGUCAGUCGCUGUGAAGUCGACGUGCUUGCAUUAUCAACGGAGUUAUGACAUGAUUUUCAAGUUUCAACAAGCGCCAGAAACUUGCUCAUGGCUUGAAGUCUCCGGUCAAUGCUACCCUUCAAGUCCUCGCUGUCUUCAUCCAUCAGUCUCAGUCAAGGUACCAAUCCAAUCCAGACUAUAUUUCGACCAUAGUUUCUUGGAGGUGACAGUUGUACAUUAUUGAAGAACUAAGCUAUAAUUUUGUACUCUCCGCCCCAAAAUAAGUGUCACUGAUUUAGUAUACUAACUUUGUACUAAAUACACUUAUUUUGGAACAAUGCAUAGAUGGUCUGACCACUUUGCGAGCUGCCGCUUA